rnacentral:misc_RNA from 1 species
GAUGAGGAACGCAGCGAAAUGCGAUAAGUAAUGUGAAUUGCAGAAUUCAGUGAAUCAUCGAAUCUUUGAACGCACAUUGCGCCCGCCAGUAUUCUGGCGGGCAUGCCUGUUCGAGCGUCAUUUCAACCAUCAAGCCCUGCUUGCGUUGGGGUCCUGCGGCUGCCCGCAGGCCCUGAAAACCAGUGGCGGGCUCGCUAGUCACACCGAGCGCAGUAAUACAUCUCGCUUUGGGCGUGCGGCGGGUUCUUGCCGUUAAACACCCCCUUUUUACCAAGGUUGACCUCGGAUCAGGUAGGAAUACCCGCUGAACUUAAGCAUAUCAAUAAGCGGAGGA